rnacentral:pre_miRNA from 1 species
UCAAUGUGAAGCCGAGGUAAUUAAAACUCUGAGUUCUCUCUACGUCAGAGUUUUGUUACCCGGCUCUAUGUGGA